rnacentral:rRNA from 1 species
AGGGUUCGAUUCUGGCUCAGGAUGAACGCUAGCUACAGGCUUAACACAUGCAAGUCGAGGGCAGCAUGGUCUUAGCUUGCUAAGGCCGAUGGCGACCGGCGCACGGUGAGUAACGCGUAUCCAACUUCCCCUUAGUAGGGCAUAGCCCGUAGAAAUGCGGAUUAAUACCCUAUGUUGUCAGUAGAGGACAUCUGAAGUUGACCAAAGGUUCACCGCUAAGGGAUGGGGAUGCGUCCGAUUAGGCAGUCGGCGGGUAACGGCCCACCGAGCCGUCGAUCGGUAGGGGUUCUGAGAGGAAGGUCCCCCACACUGGUACUGAGACACGGACCAGACUCCUACGGGAGGCAGCAGUGAGGAAUAUUGGUCAAUGGGCGUAAGCCUGAACCAGCCAAGUAGCGUUGCAGGACGACGGCCCUACGGGUUGUAAACUGCUUUUAUGCGGGGAUAACCGGCGCCACGCGUGGCGCCCUGCAGGUACCGCAUGAAUAAGGACCGGCUAAUUCCGUGCCAGCAGCCGC